UAUUUUAGUAAAAUUAUCGAAUAUACAAACAACUUGUUACUCUAAAUACGAUUACAAUUAUACUGGCACAGCUUAUUCGACAAGAAAAUGCUAAGCAUCACAGAUUUACAAUUAAAACUUGAAAAAUGUGUAUCUUAUUACGACAACAUGCUCAGCCAAAAUUGUGCGGUUAGAAAAUCCACAACCUAUUACGUGUAACCUGUUUAAGACUUCAUUCUUACUGAAAAGAUAAGGUAGACACUUAAUUGCAGAGACGAGUAUAAAUCUAAACAAAAUUCCGAAGGGUGUAGAUUCUCCUUCUCAAACACAAAUGACGAACAACAUUUCCACGCAUUAAUUGUUUGAUUAAUGUGCAUCGACAUAAUUAUUAAUGACAUACCAGGUUAAAACCAGAUAGAGUGAAAGUGUUAAUCCUAAAACGACUGAAAAUCUAUUACAUCAAGUUAGUUUCUGAAUACGUAUG